CCUCCUCUAUGAUUGCAUGUUAUCGUGGGAUUCUGUCGUGGCCUCCACUGAGAAUUCCGUCUCUACAUUUCGAAGUCCCUCACCAUCUUUUUGUGGGUCGCGGUCAUCUGUCCUGUGUUUGUUUCGGUUGUCGUGUGGCCUUCGGUGGUGUGGUGGUGUUGGACUUCCUCCUCUCCAUGGCUUUGAUUUGUGCAAAGAUGGUUAGAACCAGAGAUGGAU
rnacentral:sRNA from 1 species